GUAAAUCAACUAUGCUUUAAUAAAAAAUGUAAAAUAAAUACACAUAACAAGAUUGUUUUUCAUUGACAAUGCUGGCUCCUUAACCCACUGCACCCCAAGGGAACUCCCUAUCUUAAUUAUUCUUACGUGCGAGGUCCUGUGGUUAUUAAACCGCAGAUGUUUGGAAGGAGCACCGCGCUACGCUCCAGAGCCCGGCAAUCAACUUAGCUCCUGGCUCGCCGGUGACUAGGUGGCCUUAGGUGAGCUCCUCAGCCACUGGAACCCCAGCCUUCUCUCUGUAAAGAGGAGAUUUUCACAGUGUCGACUCCGCAGCGCUGGCAAGGCUGGAAGGCCAUGGGUGGGAAGCACUGGGCAGUGCUUGGCUCAGAAGGCACCGCGUACACGUUACCCAUUGUUGUUAUUCUAGAGCUUGGAAUUCAGAAUCAGAAUCAGGUCGGGUUUCACCCACCAGGUCGCGCGGAUACAGCUCGGUGCUGGCUGUAGACCGGGCUGAACCCCCUGCGUGGAGGUCGGGGGGGGGCGGUCUGAGAAGUGCUCUGGCUUCCAGGACCAAGUAAGCCUCUGUGCUCUCUUCUCUCGGGCUGUCUCUCUGUCCCUCUGCACCUCUGGGGCUGGGUGGAGCUGGGGCUGCUGCUUCCAGCCAUGGGAUUGGACGGAGAUUCUCAACCUCUUGCUCCUCUGGGGUGCCUCCUUAUGGUACCUACUUCCUCGGCCAUCGCCAGACACGGUAAUGGUUGCUGGGCAGUGCAGAGAGACAUCCAACUUGAACCUCGUCCUGAAAGAUCUUACAGUCCAACUAGGGGGAUGAGACAUGUGCGACUGGGCCAUUUACCAGCUGAUAAUUAUUACUGACUGCCUACCAUGCACAAGAUGUUUGAUAAGGGAGUUCCCGUCACGGUGCAGCGGAAACAAAUCCAACUAGGAACCAGGAGGUUUCAGGCUCGAUCCCUGGCCUCGCUCAGUGGGUUAAAGAUCUGGCAUUGUUGUGAGCUGUUGGUGGAGAUUGAAGGCACGACCCGGAUCCUGCAUGGCUGUGGCUGUGGUGUAGGCCAAUAGCUGUAGCUUCAAUUCAGCCCCUAGCCUGGGAACCUCCAUGUGCCACAGGUGUGGCCCUAAAAAGCAAAAACAACAACAAAAAAGUUUGUUGAUUCAGGCACAGCCACAGAAAUCCAGAGGUGGGAGAAAUGAUAGUAGUUUGGUCAUAUUCAUCUAAACUGAAGCCUGGCCUCUCUUGAUGAGAUGGCUGGAGUGGGUUGGAUGCCGGGUUUUCAGGGAAGGUUUCACAGAAUAGAACUAGCUGUAGAUGUUGCCCAAAAGCAUUUACUAGAAAAUACCCCGGAGUUCCCCCCGUCAUGGCUCAGUGGUUAAUGAAUCUGACUAGCAUCCAGGAGGAUGCAGAUACAAUCCCUGGCCUUUCUCAGUGGGUUAAGGACCCAGCAUUGCCGUGAGCUGUGGUGUAGGCCGCAGACAGGGUUUGGAUCUUGCAUUGCUGUGGCUGUGGUGUAGGCUGGCAGCUACAGCUCAGAUUCGAACCCUGGCCUGGGAACCUCCAUGUGCCAUGGAUACGGCCCUAAAAACAAAAAACAAACAAACAAAAAAAAAACGCCAAGUUAUGGUCCUCAGGUUACUUUGAGAGACUGUGAAGCAAUGAAUCCAGCUGUUUGUGAGGGUUCCUGUAAGGCGAGUGGAAAAUUCAAAUGGAAAUGGGAUCCAAGAAAGAAAAGUGUGAGGGAGGCUGGGAGCUUGCCCUCUCUGUGGCCUUUACAUACAUCCCUCUGGGUUUACUUUCCAUCUGAAUACUUUGGAUGGAGACCUAGGAACCAAAAACUUACUUCUCUAUUCUAGGAAAAACGUGAGUGCAGACAUAAGCAGCUGAUCCUCAGGCUCAGAGACAGGGAGGACUUGGGAAUGGACUGAACUUAGAGUGAAUGGGGAAAUACAGUCCUGUGUAAAAGGAGGCAGCCGGAGUGCCCGUCGUGGCUCAGCGGUUAACAAAUCCGACCAGGAACCAUAAGGUUUCAGGUUCAAUCCCUGGCCUUGCUCAGUGGGUUGAGGAUCCAGCAUUGCCGUGAGCUGUGGUGUAGGUCGCAGACAUGGCUCAGAUCCUGCAUUGCUGUGGUUGAGGCCAGGGACCGAACCUUUGUCCUCAUGGAGGCUAGUCAGAUUCGUUAACCACUGAGACAUGACAGGAACUCCGAUAAUACAGGUUUUCGACACAGAAAGUUGAAAGCUGAAAGAUGGUGGCAGUGGGACUGGAAAAUAGGUUGGAGCAAAACAAACAAAAAGAGAGAGACAAAAACUAAAAGAUGGUAAGAUGAGGGAAGCAGUAGGGUGUGGCAGGAGAAAAGAUAAGCAGGAUCCAGCUAAGAGUGAACCCGCUCUCCCGCCGCCGGAGAGAGGAAGGCCAACCAGGUCGGUUUCAGGCCUGCAGACUUCGGCGAAGUCCGCCUGCCUUCACCCUAACGCUGACCCGGGAAUGAGCUCGCGGGCCCAACCAGCGCUCCGCGGCCCUAGCCCCGCUCCCGGCUUCCUGAGGCUCUGGGGCAAGGCCGUUUACAAACGGAUUUUAUAAACCAGUUGCCUACGGUUAGAGUCACCGGCUCUUCAGGGCAACUUGUGGGGCUCAAGAAGGAGACGGAGGCGGAGGCGGAGGCGGAGGCGGACGCGCUGGCACUUGGAAGCGGGAGGAAAAGAGGGAGCGGUUUCUUACCCGGGGCUCUGGAAGGACGGAGGCCUCAGAGAGGGGACGGCGAGGGCCGGGCUGCUGGCCCUUCCAGGAGAAACGGCCGCCAGCCUCGCGCCUCACGGCACGAGCCUCCGGGGCGGCUAAGUUCACAGGCGCCCCCGCACCGCCCCGGGGACCGCGGUCUGCGCCGCCGGCUUCUCCUCCCCACUCACAGUCCCCCUCUCUUUCUGGAGCUCCUGUCCUCCGCGGGAAGGCCCUGGCCAAGGGGUAGCCCUGAGCGCCGCACCC
rnacentral:lncRNA from 1 species